AUUGAACGCUGGCGGCAUGCUUUACACAUGCAAGUCGAACGGCAGCGCGGGCUUCGGCCUGGCGGCGAGUGGCGGACGGGUGAGUAAUGCAUCGGAACGUGCCCAGUAGUUGGGGAUAGCCCGGCGAAAGCCGGAUUAAUACCGCAUACGACCUGAGGGUGAAAGCGGGGGACCGAAAGGCCUCGCGCUAUUGGAGCGGCCGAUGUCGGAUUAGCUAGUUGGUGGGGUAAAGGCUUACCAAGGCGACGAUCCGUAGCUGGUCUGAGAGGACGACCAGCCACACUGGGACUGAGACACGGCCCAGACUCCUACGGGAGGCAGCAGUGGGGAAUUUUGGACAAUGGGGGCAAGCCUGAUCCAGCCAUGCCGCGUGCGGGAAGAAGGCCUUCGGGUUGUAAACCGCUUUUGUUCGGGAAGAAAACCUCUGGGCUAAUACCCCGGGGGGAUGACGGUACCGGAAGAAUAAGCACCGGCUAACUACGUG
rnacentral:rRNA from 1 species